rnacentral:rRNA from 1 species
UUAGAGUUUGAUCCUGGCUCAGGAUGAACGCUGGCGAGAUGCUUUACACAUGCAAGUCGUACGAGGGUUUUUAACUCAAGUGGCGGACGGGUGAGUAACACGUAAGAAUUUGCCUUUAGGAGGGGGACAACAAUUGGAAACGAUUGCUAAUACCCCAUAUGCUUUCGAGUGAAAUGGAUUUUUCCGCCUAAAGAGAAGCUUGCGGCUGAUUAGCUUGUUGGUAAGGUAAUGGCUUACCAAGGCGACGAUCAGUAUCUGGUUUGAGAGGACGAUCAGACACACUGGAACUGAGACACGGUCCAGACUCCUACGGGAGGCAGCAGUGGGGAAUUUUCCGCAAUGGGCGAAAGCCUGACGGAGCAAUCUCGCGUGAGGGAUGACGGCCUAUGGGUUGUAAACCUCUUUUUUCAGGGAGGAAUAAAAUGACGUGUACCUGAAGAAUAAGCAUCGGCUAACUCCGUGCCAGCAGCCGCGGUAAGACGGAGGAUGCAAGUGUUAUCCGGAAUCACUGGGCGUAAAGCGUCUGUAGGUGGUUUAAUAAGUCAACUGUUAAAUCUUGAGGCUCAACCUCAAAAUCGCAGUCGAAACUAUUAGGCUAGAGUAUAGUAGGGGUAAAGGGAAUUUCCAGUGGAGCGGUGAAAUGCGUAGAGAUUGGAAAGAACACCGAUGGCGAAGGCACUUUACUGGGCUAUUACUAACACUCAGAGACGAAAGCUAGGGUAGCAAAUGGGAUUAGAUACCCCAGUAGUCCUAGCCGUAAACAAUGGAUACUAGAUGUUGAACAGAUCGACCUGUGCAGUAUUAAAGCUAACGCGUUAAGUAUCCCGCCUGGGAAGUAUGCUCGCAAGAGUGAAACUCAAGGAAUUGACGGGGGCCCGCACAGCGGUGGAGCAUGUGGUUUAAUUCGAUGCAACGCGAGGAACCUUACCAGGGUUUGACAU